GACGUAGGAUGCAAGCGUUGUCCGGAAUUAUUGGGCGUAAAGAGUUCGUAGGCGGUUGCCUAAGUCUGAUGUUAAAUACUGGAGCUCAACUCCGGCAUGGCAUUGGAAACUGGGCGGCUAGAGUGUGGUAGAGGUCUCGGGAAUUCCAGGUGUAGCGGUGAAAUGCGUAGAGAUCGGGAGGAAGGCCGGUGGCGAAGGCGGCGCUCUGGAACAUUUCUGACGCUGAGGCUCGAAAGCGUGGGGAGCAAACAGG
rnacentral:rRNA from 1 species